rnacentral:rRNA from 1 species
CCUACGGGUGGCAGCAGUGAGGAAUAUUGGUCAAUGGGCUUACGCCUGAACCAGCCAAGUCGCGUGAAGGAUGACUGCCCUAUGGGUUGUAAACCUCUUUUGUCAGGGAGCAACUCCGGCUACGUGUAGCCGUACUGAGAGUACCUGAAGAAAAAGCAUCGGCUAACUCCGUGCCAGCAGCCGCGGUAAUACGGAGGAUGCGAGCGUUAUCCGGAUUUAUUGGGUUUAAAGGGUGCGUAGGCGGAAUGUCAAGUCAGCGGUAAAAUCGCGGGGCUCAACCUCUUCGAGCCGUUGAAACUGGCUGUCUUGAGAUGGCGAGAGGUAUGCGGAAUGCGUGGUGUAGCGGUGAAAUGCAUAGAUAUCGCGCAGAACUCCGAUUGCGAAGGCAGCAUACCGGCGCUCAACUGACGCUGAGGCACGAAAGUGUGGGUAUCGAACAGGAUUAGAUACCCGAGUAGUC